rnacentral:rRNA from 1 species
AUCCAUCAAGCUUGCUUGGUGGUGAGAGUGGCGAACGGGUGAGUAAUCGACCUGCCCCAUGCUCCGGAAUAGCUCCUGGAAACGGGUGGUAAUGCCGGAUGUUCCACAUGAUCGCAUGUGAUUGUGGGAAAGAUUCUAUCGGCGUGGGAUGGGGUCGCGUCCUAUCAGCUUGUUGGUGAGGUAACGGCUCACCAAGGCUUCGACGGGUAGCCGGCCUGAGAGGGCGACCGGCCACAUUGGGACUGAGAUCCCAGACUCCUACGGGAGGCAGCAGUGAUAUUGCACAAUGGGCGCAAGCCUGAUGCAGCGACGCCGCGUGAGGGAUGGAGGCCUUCGGGUUGUAAACCUCUUUUGUUUGGGAGCAAUCGGGUGAGUGUACCUUUCGAAUCGCCGGCUAACUACGUGCCAGCAGCCGCGGUAAUACGUAGGGCGCAAGCGUUAUCCGGAUUUAUUGGGCGUAAAGGGCUCGUAGGCGGCUCGUCGCGUCCGGUGUGAAAGUCCAUCGCUUAACGGUGGAUCUGCGCCGGGUACGGGCGGGCUGGAGUGCGGUAGGGGAGACUGGAAUUCCCGGUGUAACGGUGGAAUGCGGGAAGAACACCGAUGGCGAAGGCAGGUCUCUGGGCCGUCACUGACGCUGAGGAGCGAAAGCGUGGGGAGCGAACAGGAUUAGAUACCCUGGUAGUCCACGCCGUAAACGGUGGACGCUGGAUGUGGGGCACGUUCCACGUGUUCCGUGUCGGAGCUAACGCGUUAAGCGUCCCGCCGGAGUACGGCCGCUAAAACUCAAAGAAAUUGACGGGGGCCCGCACAAGCGGCGGAGCAUGCGGAUUAUUCGAUGCAACGCGAAGAAGCCUUACCUGGGCUUGACAUGUUCCCGACGACGACAGAGAUGGCGUUUCCCUUCGGGGCGGGUUCACAGGUGGUGCAUGGUAGCUCGUGUCGUGAGAUGUUGGGUUAAGUCCCGCAACGAGCGCAACCCUCGCCCCGUGUUGCCAGCACGUUAUGGUGGGAACUCACGGGGGACCGCCGGGGUUAACUCGGAGGAAGGUGGGUGACGUCAGAUCAUCUUACGUCCAGGGCUUCACGCAUGCAUGGCCGGUACAGCGGGAUGCGACAUGGCGACAUGGAGCGGAUCCCUGAAAACCGGUCUCAGUUCGGAUCGGAGCCUGCAACCCGGCUCCGUGAAGGCGGAGUCGCUAGUAAUCGCGGAUCAGCAACGGGAAU